rnacentral:rRNA from 1 species
UUGACCUCAAAUCAGGUAGGACUACCCGCUGAACUUAAGCAUAUCAAUAAGCGGAGGAAAAGAAACCAACAGGGAUUGCCUCAGUAACGGCGAGUGAAGCGGCAAAAGCUCAAAUUUGAAAUCUGGCACCUUCGGUGUCCGAGUUGUAAUUUGAAGAAGGUAACUUUGGAGUUGGCUCUUGUCUAUGUUCCUUGGAACAGGACGUCACAGAGGGUGAGAAUCCCGUGCGAUGAGAUGCCCAAUUCUAUGUAAAGUGCUUUCGAAGAGUCGAGUUGUUUGGGAAUGCAGCUCUAAGUGGGUGGUAAAUUCCAUCUAAAGCUAAAUAUUGGCGAGAGACCGAUAGCGAACAAGUACAGUGAUGGAAAGAUGAAAAGAACUUUGAAAAGAGAGUGAAAAAGUACGUGAAAUUGUUGAAAGGGAAGGGCUUGAGAUCAGACUUGGUAUUUUGCAAGCCUUACCUUCGUGGUGGGGUCCCCUGCAGUUUACUGGGCCAGCAUCGGUUUGGAUGGUGGGAUAAUGACUUGGGAAUGUGGCUUUGCUUCGGUAAAGUGUUAUAGCCCUUGUUGAUACCGCCUGUCUAGACCGAGGACUGCGUCUUUGACUAGGAUGUUGGCAUAAUGAUCUUAAGUCGCCC